CCUGUAUGCACAAUUUCAGCCUCUUCUUCUUCAUUCUCCACAUGAACAGGAUCGUUAACAUCGGCUUGUGUUGUCCCUCCAAUGAACAAACCUGGGCGUGGCUGCCCAUGAGAUGGCUAAAUGACCAAAACCACCACAACCAAAACACUGACUUCCACGCCCUCGUCCACCAGGAGGAGCCCAGCCACCCGGAUUAGCGGUUGGAGGAACCACUGGCCGAGUGUUCCGAUCAACGCCCCGACCCCCAGAUG
rnacentral:lncRNA from 1 species